GGUUGAAUUUUGGGCGUUUCAAUUCCAAAGGGUAGUUCGACCUGCAGGACGGUCUUGGCAACUGGUUUCAAAAGGCUUUGCCUUCAAUUUUGAAUUUGCAGCACAACACUUAAUUACUUUGAUGUAACAUUUUAGGCGUUUCAAUUCCAAAGGGUAGUUCGACCUGCAGGACGGUCUUGGCAACUGGUUUCAAAAGGCUUUGCCUUCAAUUUUGAAUUUGCAGCACAACACUUAAUUACUUUGAUGUAACAUUUUGCAUUUCGGAUAAUUGUAUUA
rnacentral:lncRNA from 1 species